rnacentral:rRNA from 1 species
GUAGGUGGCAAGCGUUGUCCGGAAUUAUUGGGCGUAAAGCGCGCGCAGGCGGUUCUUUAAGUCUGAUGUGAAAGCCCACGGCUCAACCGUGGAGGGUCAUUGGAAACUGGAGAACUUGAGUACAGAAGAGGAAAGCGGAAUUCCACGUGUAGCGGUGAAAUGCGUGGAGAUGUGGAGGAACACCAGUGGCGAAGGCGGCUUUCUGGUCUGUAACUGACGCUGAGGCGCGAAAGCGUGGGGAGCAGACAGGAUUAGAUACCCUGGUAGUCCACGCCGUAAACGAUGAGUGCUAAGUGUUAGGGGGUUUCCGCCCCUUAGUGCUGCAGCUAACGCAUUAAGCACUCCGCCUGGGAGUACGGCCGCAAGGCUG